UUUCUGUGCCAUGGAGAAGAUGUUUUUCACAGUAUGAACAGGUAACCAGCAAUGAAGACCUGCCAAUCCCAAUGGAAAACCCCUAUAAAGAGCCUCUUAAGAAGUGCGUCUUGUGUGAGAAACGUGUAGAUUACAAGAAUGUACAGGUCUUUGUGGGAAGAAGCAGAAGGAAGUGACUAAAGCCAUUAAGCGAGCUCAGAAAAUGGGAAAUCAGGAAAUGCCAUGAAACUUCACCUGCUGAGCUAUUAUCAAGGCUGUUCCAGACACGGAGCCAGGAAUGCCACUCGACAUUUCGGCCUGGGGUUGGGGUGAUACUCCUCUGUUUCACCCAGGUCCCUGAUGUCUGACAGAAAAUGAAUUAGAGUAAAGUAAAAAUGAGCAA
rnacentral:lncRNA from 1 species